UUUGAUGAGUUUUGUAGAUUGUGUCCAAAAAUGGCGAUUUUUGGAUGUAUAGAUUAGGAGUUAUGGAUUUUAUGAGAAAAGACUAUUUUAAAAGUAAACUCUUAUAACUCUUUGUGGUUAACUCCAAAAUUAAUAAAAUUUUUAUUGGGAUUACAUCUAUAUAAUAUCAGUAUACCCUGUGAAUUUCGGAAUUUUUGGAUAAAAGUACAAUUUAUGAUAAAUGUUUAAAUAUUCGGUGGUUUUGGCCAUAUGAAAAAUAGUAAAUGAAUUUUUAAAAUUCCGGGAAAAAUAUAUGUUCAAUAUGGGUCAAUAUUAUGCUAAAUCCCAGAAAAAAAAUAUUUUUGGGACUGAUUUGGUAUUUUUCAUGAAAAUGGUCUAGUUAUGACUAAAUGAAUUAAAAAUGUUAUGUGAAGUAAGAAAAUUGGAAAAUAUGAUUUUAUGGCUUGAGAAUCAUAUAUGAGGUAUAUGCAGAUUUUUGAUGAGGG
rnacentral:lncRNA from 1 species